GUCACUGCUGUGGACUGACUGUUGAGACAGAGGUGGAUUUGAGAAAAUUAACUGAGAUGAUUCAUAACUGACUCUGUGAUCAACAGAAAAGAGCACAUGGGGCAGAUUCCUUUUAUUCAUAGAAAAAUAAUACUUUAAUCUUUUAACUCUCAAGUCACAACAGACUCCUCAAGUGAAAGAUGAACAUUAAAGGGAGGUUGAAACAGUGAAGGUGUUUCUGUCAGAGCAGAGUGAGAUUUUCAGAAACAGUUUGUAUUGCUGUUAUAUUUCAGUCUGUGGCAGAAUGAAUCUCCUGAACCCAGCUGUGUGUCCAUGAAGAGUGACUGGUCAAUGGAUCAUCCAAUGCAGUUCAGCUCGGGAGACACAUCUGCUGAUCUGAGGUGUUGUUUAGUUUACAGUAUGAGAAAUAUAUAUGAUAUUUAUGAUAUUCAUUAAUUUACCGAUGUGUAUUAAAUACAUUACUACAUGUUUACAAAAAUAUUCAACAUUUGUUUAACUACAGUCAAAAACAUAAAGGACCACAAUCACAUACAUCAAAGAAGAACUUAGACUCCAUUUUUAAGGUUGGUUUUGUGCAUGUGUGUGUGUAUGUUUGAGUGUGUGUGUGUGUGUGUGUGUGUGUGUGUCCAUCCCAACACAAUAAUCCUCUGGGUAAAAGUAUUAAAAAACUGAGAAAUCUGUGAAAUCCUCUCUGUAAUAGUCAUGUUUACUUUCNUGAAAUGUUUCACAUUUUUAAUGUUCAGAAACAAUAAAUGCACACAACAAUAGCAUUUUCAUUUAUAGUCAGAUUCAGGGGCAUGAAUCAGAUUUAUCUGAACACAUGGAUGUGUCUGUGAGGAAAAACCCAGCAAUGGAUCUUUCAGAUCUCUGCAGAGAGGAAGACUCUUCUGUUGAGUCCAGUCUGUGGCAGAAUGAAUCUCCUGAACCCAGCUGUGUGUCCAUGAAGAGUGACGCGUCUAUGAGUCAUCCAAUUCAGUUCAGCUCGGGAGAAUCAUCUGCUGAUCUGAGUCAAAAACAUAAAGGACCGCAAUCACAUACAGCAAAGAAGAACUUAGACUCCAUUUUUAAGGAGAUUGAGCACAAAAUCAUCUCUGAGUUAAAAA
ensembl:lncRNA